rnacentral:rRNA from 1 species
UACAGAGGGUGCAAGCGUUAAUCGGAUUUACUGGGCGUAAAGCGUGCGUAGGCGGUUUGUUAAGUCGAUUGUGAAAGCCCUGGGCUCAACCUAGGAAUUGCAGUCGAUACUGAUAGACUAGAAAUCGGUAGAGGGAGGCGGAACUCCAGGUGUAGCAGUGAAAUGCGUAGAUAUCUGGAAGAACACCGAUGGCGAAGGCAACCUCCUGGGCCUGAUUUGACGCUGAGGCACGAAAGCGUGGGGAGCAAACAGG